CCAGACCCGGGCCUUUAAAGGCCCCAGUCUCCUGAGAGCUGGCCUCUUUCUUCGUGUGCCGAUUUUGGAGGAGGAUGUCUCUGUAUCAGACUGGUAAGGGGCCACGUGGAGAACAAGAACAAGGCCUAAAAAGGGUGUGGAUCUUCGGUCACAGCAUCAUUAAUUAGGCUGAGCGUCAUGCUAGAUCCACUCUAUGGUCUGAACAGCUCGGUGUGUCAUCCUGGGCAAGAGUGCGCUGGAUAUCCAGACGUGGUAUGAGAAAGAAACUGCUUUACCUUAUCGGUACAAUGCUGUCCUGUGCAAUAAAUGGAUCCUUUUCCCCAAUAUGGUAUCUGGCAAAGUGCUACACAGCUGGAGUCUGUUUCUUCUCUGUCUUGUCUCACACCAUUUGUCCUGAAAACCCUCUCUAGUGCGUUAGGAGGACAUCUUUCCUGAUUGCCAGGAACAUCCUUGAUUCAGAUGCAUGAAGCCAGUAGCUCUGCCCUCUCAUCUGUCCGGCACAUCUGGCAAUCAAAGACGUUUCUUCUAGCUACAUGAAGCCUGAUGGAGUAGACAGCCCAUGAACCUGUCUUUCUUCCAUAGUUGACCUCAUCUGGCUCACAGACCUACAGAUCCCCAUAUAUUGCCUUAAUUAAUCUUUUUGGAAUGCAUGAGGGGAGGAGUUGGAUUGUACUCACUAGCCACACCCCUAAAUGUCAAUGCACCCAGUGCCCAUGGCCCCAAUAGCUAUGAAUUUAGCAUCAGCAUCACAUUGCAGUAAUCCAAACAGAAAGUUCCUAAAGUGUGGGUCACUGCAGCCAAGUGAUCCUUGUCAGCUGAAGCUAGAAAAAGGCACUUCAUGCCACUAAGACCCCCUGGUGGCAGCUGAGCUGUGGAGUACCCCCAGCAGGGGUGUAGUGACCCAGGGUCUCAUGGGGUCUUGUUGGGGAGCAGGGUUCCAACCAGGUUUCUAUGUCUCCAGCAUCCUAUGAGCCAAUCCUCCUGAAAGGGAAUGUAUUAGCUACUGAGAAGAAUCUUCUAACAUGGUUCCUUGUCCUUUCCUGCUGAUUGAAGCCAAACAAAGUGAAAUGAGGUGAGUCAGCCACUGAGAAGACUGGUCUCAGUAGCUAACACACUCCCCUUUCAUGCUGAUUGGCUCCUAGGAACAUCAGUUGUUGUAGAAGAAGGUACAAGUGGGAACGAAUGAAGAGUGUGCAUAACAACAGAUAGCAAGAGGGCAUGGCUGUGAAAGGGAAUGGCAUGACUAUCAUGAAGGGACCCUGCACUUCUGAAUUUGUCACUACACUACUGACCUCCAACUACAUACCUAAUCCUUCAGGGACAGUGCAGCCUCAUUUAGAAUAGGUUGUCUUCCUGUUUUCUAGACCCAGGAAUCACCAAGCUACUGCACCUCUUUCUUGUCAGGAUUCCACCUCAGUUUAUUAGCCCUCAUUACUUCCUCUAGGAGGUACUGAUCUAGCACCUGCACAGUUGCACCUCAUUCCGAUGGUAGGGAGAAAAAGAAAUGGCACCUUAUCUCAAGUUCUCCUAUGACUGUUCCCAAUGGCUUCAUAUGGAUGUUGAAGAGCAUGGUGGACAGAACUGAAACUGGGGGGAUCCCUCAGCACAACUGCCAUAGGGCUGAACAGGAGCUUCCUAGUGCUACUCUCUGGAACUGAGAGGCCCACUUCUCUGCCUCCAUCACAUCCUCAAGGAGCCAUCCAAUGGAGCUUCUUCAUACUGUCAGGGGUCUGUUAACAUCAACUCCAGCAAAUGGAGUUUCAGACCCUUCAGAAGCCACUGUGAAUUGUUUGCAAGGCACUUCAAGGGUAAAGUUGCUCACCUCCACAGCAAUCUUUGAUGCCCCAUCUACACCUACUGUAGCUCCAGUGAGGUGUCCAGUGCAAUGUCUGCCACAACUGCUUGGGAUCAAUUUCAGUAGACGUGGCCUGAUGACGUGAACAAGGUGCUUGUGAUGAUGCAGCCAGCAGCAUGUCCUCUCGAUCCUUGCCCUGCUUGGCUUAUUAAAGCUUGCUGAGGGGGUAUGACCGAGUGGAUUCAGGGUGUGCUCAACACAUCUUUGCAAGAGGAAGUGGUCCCAGCUGCCCUGAGGUGGUGAUUCAAAUGCCCCUGAAUAAGCUCAACCUGGACUAGGGAUGGAAAGAUCUGUCUGUGUCUGUUCUCUCAGUUUCUCAUUUUUCCAAUGUUAAAUUCAGUUCUCUACAUUUCUACAGCGAUCUGCAAUUUUAAAAAAAAUCCUCAGGAAAAUUCUCCACCAUUUUAGUGCGAAUUUCUCCAAACACAUUUUUGUAGGCAGUUUUGACAAAAGUACAUAUUUUUGCAAGCCUUUUGGCAUGUUAUUUUCACUCAUGUAUUCAUUUUUAUGCACACUUUCCCCCAACAUAUGCUUUUUUUGUAAAUGUUGUUUAGUUGGUGAAUUGCAUCCCAAAAUUCUAAUAAAUGCGAAUUUUGAAGGAUGGCUGUGUUUCUGUUGUCAUAUUGUUUUGGAAAUUGCGAAUUUGAUAAAUUCUGCUUGAAAUGCAAACAGAAUAGAAAUUCUCACCCAUCCCUACCCUGGACCCAUUGUGACAACUACCUUCUGGUCGCAAAUAGUCCCUUUUAGGGAAAGUGAUCCAAGAGGGUUGUGGCACAGCAAUUGCAAGUACUCUUGGAUGAAACAGAUUAUCUUGACCUAUUCCAAUCUGAUUCAUGCCUGGUUAUGGGACUGAUUCUGCCUUGUCCUGAUGGAUGACCUUUACCAGGAAAAGGACAGGGGGAGCGUGACCCUAUUAUUCUUACUGGAUCUCUUGGUGGCUUUUGAUACCAUAGACCAUGGUAUUCUUCUGAGCUGACAUAGUGAGAUGGGUAUAGGAGGCACUGGUUUACAAUGGUUCUCAGAGCUUGGAAAAGUUAC